rnacentral:rRNA from 1 species
AGAGUUUGAUCAUGGCUCAGAACGAACGCUGGCGGCAGGCUUAACACAUGCAAGUCGAGCGCCUCGCAAGAGGAGCGGCAGACGGGUGAGUAACGCGUGGGAAUCUACCCAUCUCUACGGAACAACUCCGGGAAACUGGAGCUAAUACCGUAUACGUCCUUCGGGAGAAAGAUUUAUCGGAGAUAGAUGAGCCCGCGUUGGAUUAGCUAGUUGGUGGGGUAAUGGCCUACCAAGGCGACGAUCCAUAGCUGGUCUGAGAGGAUGAUCAGCCACAUUGGGACUGAGACACGGCCCAAACUCCUACGGGAGGCAGCAGUGGGGAAUAUUGGACAAUGGGCGAAAGCCUGAUCCAGCCAUGCCGCGUGAGUGAUGAAGGCCCUAGGGUUGUAAAGCUCUUUCAACGGUGAAGAUAAUGACGGUAACCGUAGAAGAAGCCCCGGCUAACUUCGUGCCAGCAGCGGCGGUAAUAC